UAGUACAUUCGGAGAAAAAGUAGUACCUUCGCGAGUGUUUAAAAAACAUGGUACCUGAACGCCAAAAAGUAGUACCUUCAGUUCAAAAAAGUAGUACCUUCGAAGAAAAAGUAGUACCUUCGCAGAAGGGUAUUUUAGGCAUCACAAUUUCUAAACAGUAAAAAACCAUGUGCCACCUCAGCAAUCCAUUUUAGAGAAAUAUGGAACUUUGACUCAGCCUCUAAGUAAAUAUGGAACUUUAACUCCAUUUAUAUGUAAUUUUCCCUUAUUGAAAAGGGUAAACCCUAAUACUGCUCAAAGAGUCCUGCCCCCUUUCGUGUCCCAACAUUCCCAGGCCCUUCGUUUCUCGAGCUCCAUGGCCUCACUUUUCCCGAAGUCUCCCAAUGGCCUUAUCUCAACUGCAUUCAUGGCCAUUGGUAGUUCGGCUUUACUGAUUUCUCGCCGCCCCAAGAGGGGUAAGGGUGGUGGUGGCGGCGGCCCCAAGAAGGGGGGUGGGGGUGGGGGUGGUGGUGGUGGCGGGCUUUGGAAUUUCACUUGCCGGUUUUGCUUCGAUAUAAAGACCAGCAAGUCUGGACUAACUACUCACAUCGAUCACCGCUAUCACAACGAGCCUCGACGCGAUAAGUUACACUAUUUGAAAUGCCGGGGUAGCCAACACAUGUGUCGCCAUUGGGGGAAUCCAUAUGCCAAUGCUAAAGAGCUUGAAGCUCAUUGCCCACAGAAAACCUCCGGCACCUGUGAAUUCAAAAAUUAUAAGGGUCCAGGAUGAAGAUGGGGAUCUUAGGAGGCUGGGAAUAGGGAUGCGGGGCAGCAGCAUUGGAAUUUUGAAGACAAUUAAUUAAAUUUUGAAGACAAUUAAUUAAAUAUAAUAGUACUAUUACUUCUUUAUAGUUUAUGAGUAUUAUUAUAUAUAUAUAUAUUUAAAUCUAAUGGGUAUGAAUUCAAGUUUGCUUGGUGUAGGCAUCUGAGUCCACCUCUUUUUUGGCAUCUGAAUUUGCAAUUUUGUGAUACGUUUUAUAAUGAAUUGGUGGUUUUUUUAAGCACUGCGUACUCCCUAUCUUUUAUGAUCUCAUAAAUUGAAGAUGAUGUUACCCUUU